rnacentral:tRNA from 1 species
UGGCCGAGUGGUUAAGGCGAUGGACUAGGAAUCCAUUGCGGGUUCCCGCACAGGUUCGUAUCCUGU